GCAAACUUGGUCAUUUAGAGGAAGUAAAAGUCGUAACAAGGUUUCCGUAGGUGAACCUGCGGAAGGAUCAUUAUUGAAUAAAUUUGAACAGGUUGUUGCUGAUCCUAUUAUUCAGGGAUAUGUGCACGCCUGUCAUCUUUGUUUUCUCCAACUUGUGCAUCUAUAUAGUAGGCUUUGGAAGCUAUUUUGUCAAUAGAUAGAUUGAGGAAUUGCUGUUGUAGCUUUGCCUUGCAAAUUUCCAUUGUCUAUGUUAUUUUCACAAACUAUGAAAAUGAGUUUUAGAGUGUUGUAAAGUAAAAAUCUCUACAACUUUCAGCAACGGAUCUCUUGGCUCUCGCAUCGAUGAAGAACGCAGC
rnacentral:misc_RNA from 1 species